UGGGGAAUAUUGGACAAUGGGCGAAAGCCUGAUCCAGCCAUGCCGCGUGUGUGAAGAAGGCCUUUUGGUUGUAAAGCACUUUAAGCGAGGAGGAGGCUACUUGGAUUAAUACUCUAGGAUAGUGGACGUUACUCGCAGAAUAAGCACCGGCUAACUCUGUGCCAGCAGCCGCGGUAAUACAGAGGGUGCGAGCGUUAAUCGGAUUUACUGGGCGUACAGCGUGCGUAGGCGGCUUUUUAAGUCGGAUGUGAAAUCCCUGAGCUUAACUUAGGAAUUGCAUUCGAUACUGGGAAGCUAGGGUAUGGGAGAGGAUGGUAGAAUUCCAGGUGUAGCGGUGGAAUGCGUAGAGGUCUGGAAGAAUACCGAUGGCGAAGGCAGCCAUCUGGCCUUAUACUGACGCUGAGGUACAAAAGCAGGGGGAGCAAACAGG
rnacentral:rRNA from 1 species